rnacentral:rRNA from 1 species
AGUGAACGCUGGCGGUAGGCCUAACACAUGCAAGUCGAACGGCAGCACAGUAAGAGCUUGCUCUUACGGGUGGCGAGUGGCGGACGGGUGAGGAAUACAUCGGAAUCUACUUUUUCGUGGGGGAUAACGUAGGGAAACUUACGCUAAUACCGCAUACGACCUACGGGUGAAAGCAGGGGAUCUUCGGACCUUGCGCGAUUGAAUGAGCCGAUGUCGGAUUAGCUAGUUGGCGGGGUAAAGGCCCACCAAGGCAACGAUCCGUAGCUGGUCUGAGAGGAUGAUCAGCCACACUGGAACUGAGACACGGUCCAGACUCCUACGGGAGGCAGCAGUGGGGAAUAUUGGACAAUGGGCGCAAGCCUGAUCCAGCCAUACCGCGUGGGUGAAGAAGGCCUUCGGGUUGUAAAGCCCUUUUGUUGGGAAAGAAAAGCAGCAGGUUAAUACCCCGCUGUUCUGACGGUACCCAAAGAAUAAGCACCGGCUAACGUCGUG